ensembl:lncRNA
CUUCUUCACUGAAUUCACCAGGCCUUGUGUUCAACUGUAAGCACUUCCCAGACAGAGUUUAGGAUGCAAAUGUAUACAUUCUUACAUCAUGGGAGUUCUCAUGUGGCAUGGGGUGAAGUCUCUUACUUCUGGCCACUUUCUGUUAGUACGUGAAAGUGGUGGCACAUACAAAAAGUGGAAGAUCAUGGUCUGUGAGAUGAAUUUAUCCAGGCAGAACUCUGCUCUCUACUCAGAAGAAAGAGAACUAAAAUGAUACUGGUUGUGGGCCAUGAUGAUACCAAAAUGAUACUGUGAGCCAUUCUCAGGGCAGCGUUAGCCUCAUAGCAGGUACUUUUGACAUUUAGUCAGAUUACUGACUUCAGUGUGAUCAAGCUGCAUCCUUGAAAGGAGGCACAUAUUUUUCAAUUUUAUACAAAUUACAGAGCACCAAGGUGUGUUUCUUAUGAAGAAUAUCUUAGGGCCAAAGACAUAAAUACAUUAGUCUCCCUAGGCUUACUCUCAUUAAUAGCAGAAAGUGCAUAUUCAUGCUUUUGCUGUGAGGCAACGUACCCUGAUAUCUGCCUCUCUUCUCAUUUUCACCUUCCCCUCUAAAUUGCUCACAUUUUUCUCAUUUGUACAUUCCUGAUGAGUAAAGCAGAUUUAUUUCACCUGAGAGCAAGGAGGGAGGUGUCCAGUGAUAAGGCAAGAAUUUGAUGAGUAGCUGUGCAGUUUUUUCCUUUGAAAGCUCCUCACUCAACUUGUCCACCCUUUGGUGAUUAUUUCCUUUGGAAAUAGUUUUCUUAAAAACUACCUGGAUCUUAAGAACUUCACAUGCAGAGGACUGCUUUUGGGGUCCAGGAGUUUGAAACAGAAUAAGAUACUACAUUAGCCAGUGACCUGAAAUAAAAGCAAAUGGAACUCAGAAGAGCUUGCAGGGGUCAGGCAGUCCACGAUCUCCCUUACAGCCAGCUCCGUUUUACCCAGGCCAUUACUAGAAAAUGUCAGUUUGCCUUGUUCUUAAGAACAUCUCCUUAAAAACAUCCUCAAUCCUGCUACCUCAAGAAGCCAACUGUUCUGGUUGAUAGCAUGGAGAAUACAAGAGCUCUUCAUGUUUCAAGUAUAUUCUCCAACUUUGGAAGCAAAAUAAAGAGAGUCACCCAGUGAUCCUGAACUCAAAUUACUUGCAAGUAAGAUUUUUUGCUGGAAGUUAAGGGACUGCUCCUGCACUUCUCAAAGACAUAGCAAAGAUUCCCUGGAAGAAGAGUUUAUAAAACAAGAAAGCCAUAGAGAAGAUGAUGAGAGAGAAAGGGCAGAAGUGGAGCAGAAGAGGGAGAAAACUCACCAGUGAGAUUGCACAGAUGUUCAGCAGGGAAGAGAGCAUUGCCUGGUGGAAGGAAGCAGCUAUUAAAUGGAAAAUAAAUAACUGUCAAGCCCUGUUGUUGUGGAAGAAAGAAGAGGGCAUAGGGAGAGGACUGCAUUUGGAUUGUCUGUUUUGCAUCCAGUAUGCAGCUGUGAUAGAACAAGAGUCAUGGGUUAAAGCAGAGGACUUGUUCAGUUCAUCUUGGUUCAUGCUCAAACUCUCACUAGAGAAGAGUGGUGAGUCAUAUACAGUGGUCCACGCAUGGGAUGCUAACUUCAGGAGACAGUUGCCCAGCCAUGGAAGGAGGGAAAAGACUUGAUAACAGCUCUCAGGAGGUUUGAGCAUCUCUGUGGUAAUGUCCCUGAAAAUGUGUAAUGUCAACCAGGAGUGAAAAUCUCUGCAGGGAGGAAGGAAAACACAGUGUCUUUGGUUCACAUCACUCCAUGGAGAGGAGGCUCUUGAUGCACAACGAAGCCCUUAUAUAUGUCAGUGACCGAAGGAAAGCUGAAGACUAAAGGGGGUGGAGGAAAAGUGCAUUAAAAUAAUAAAAAAUGUGUUAUGAAAUUUCAGUCAAAUGUAUGUAAAUCUUUAUUAAUUAAAGGACUUCUCAACAUGAUAAUGUGGCCAUGUAUUUCUUGGCAUUUUCACAAAUGAGGAAGCGCAGCUUCCUGCACUGGCAAUUGAUCUGCUUCCCAGUGUUAACAUUAACAUACUUGAGACUUUACAGCUGUUAACUUGAUGACUUUACAAUUGAUAUGAAACGUUUUCCAUACUGUCUUAAUCUUGUAAUCCAGAUUCUGCCACCUUUGGUCAUCGUGCAUGGCAUCAGUUUAAUAAAUAAGGUUGUUAUUCU